rnacentral:tRNA from 1 species
GCCGGAAUGGCGGAAUCGGUAGACGCAGCGGACUCAAAAUCCGCCGAUCGCAAGGUCAUGAGAGUUCGAGUCUCUCUUCCGGCA